rnacentral:rRNA from 1 species
UACGAAGGGGGCUAGCGUUGCUCGGAAUGACUGGGCGUAAAGGGCGCGUAGGCGGAUGGCACAGUCAGAUGUGAAAUUCCCGGGCUUAACCUGGGGGCUGCAUUUGAUACGUGUGAUCUAGAGUGAGGAAGAGGGUCGUGGAAUUCCCAGUGUAGAGGUGAAAUUCGUAGAUAUUGGGAAGAGCACCGGUGGCGAAGGCGGCGACCUGGUCCUUGACUGACGCUGAGGCGCGAAAGCGUGGGGGAGCAAACAGG